UUUAAAAGCACUUUGAAAAGAGAGUGAAAAGAACCUGAAACCGCUAGGGGGGAAGCGAAUUGCGUUGAUAUGUGAGAAACUUGUCGAUCAGUGGGUGAUUCCGCGUAAUCCGCAUUUUUCUCUGCCGUCAUGGGCUUGUGGUUCAGCGGAUGUUGCGCUGCUGCAGGCCGAGGGAUCCCUUUUAUAGGUUGACGAUGAUGGAUAUUUUGGCGCGAUUCGACCCGUCUUGAAACACGGACCAAGGAGUCUAGCGUACCUGCGAGUCAAAGGGUGUGAAAACCUGAGGGCGCAGUGAAAGCGAAUGUAUUUAAAAUGGUGCAAUUUGAGGCGGCAUACGAUCGUUGAUUGUAAGUCCGACCUAGAGCAGAUAUGCUAGGACCCGAAAGAUGGUGAACUAUGCUUGAGUAGGGCGAAGCCAGAGGAAACUCUGGUGGAGGCUCGUAGCGGUGCUGACGUGCAAAUCGCUCGUCAAACUUGAGUAUAGGGGCGAAAGACUAAUCGAACCAUCUAGUAGCUGGUUUCCUCCGAAGUUUCUCUCAGGAUAGCAGGCCUAAAUAUUAUGAUUGUUGUGUGU
rnacentral:rRNA from 1 species